CCUGAGACACUCUAAAUAUAAAUGUCUGGCAUAAAACAAGGCCCUCUGUCCAGGACAGCCCACUACAGACGCUUGUAUCUUCAAAGUUAGCUAAUAAAGUGGAACCAAGCAUCUCCUGUCCACAACCGUCCAGCUUCAGCUCACCUACUACUAACUCCCUGACACAAUGUGCAGGGUGGUGCUCAGCCAUCGCUGUUUUACGCCGUGAUGACCCCAGCAAAACUUGAGAAUGUUACCGCAGCCAGUGUCCUGGAGCAACACCAGGAAAAUGCAGAUGCCGGCCGACUUCAUAAUCCUUGCUCUGUGUGGGGAUCACCCAACCCAGAGGAUUAUGUGGGAAAGUGAAACUGAAUAAUGACAACCAGAUGUUCAAUGUGAGAAGAUCCUGUUACAGACACCUUUACGUGUACUUCUAGCAAGAAACAAUUACAAGAUGGAGCUGGGAGUUGUAACAAAAAGACUAGAACUACUUUCCCUUCCCUGUUUGAUUGUGUCAAAUCUGGUGGCAUGAACAGCUAUUUGAAACAUAGCAAGGCAUGUUAUAAUAGCCGUUUUGAAUUUACUCUUAGCUUAUUUUGAAGUCCUUUGUUGCCCGCUUGUUUUGUCUUUAUUGUUUCUAUUCUAUUCUGCUCUGUUCAAUUUUUACUAUGUCUGAAGGUAUCUGCAGCUACUUCGAAUACAACAAAAGGCAUGAUUGUAACUUUUGCUGUUUUUGUAAGGUUUUGAAGUCCUAUAUCACUUAUACUACUU